rnacentral:rRNA from 1 species
UACAGAGGUGGCAAGCGUUGUUCGGAAUUACUGGGCGUAAAGGGCGCGUAGGCGGCCAUCUAAGUCAGACGUGAAAUCCCCCGGCUUAACCUGGGAACUGCGUCUGAUACUGGACGGCUCGAGUUUGGGAGAGGGAUGUGGAAUUCCAGGUGUAGCGGUGAAAUGCGUAGAUAUCUGGAGGAAUACCGGUGGCGAAGGCGGCAUCCUGGACCAUUACUGACGCUGAGGCGCGAAAGCUAGGGGAGCAAACGGG